GACGAACGCUGGCGGCGUGCCUAACACAUGCAAGUCGAACGGGACCGUCGGGUCUUGUGGCGCACGGGUGGGUAACGCGGGGGAACCUGCCCUUGGGUUCGGAAUACCUCCCCGAAAGGGGUGCUAAUACCGCAUAGGCUAUUAGCGCAAACGAUCUAUCGCUUUUGGGUGGGCGCGGGUUGGUUUCGCCGGUUGGUAGGGUAAAAGCCGGCCAACGGGCCGUUCCUUGGCUGGUCGGGUAGGAAGGCCUUCAACGCUGGCCCUGAGGCCCGGCCCAGACUCCUACGGGAGGCAGCAGUGGGGAAUAUUGGACGAGGGGCGAUGGCGUGAUCCAGCAAUGCCGCGUGAGUGAUGAAGGCCUUAGUGUCCUAAAGCUCUUUUACCCGGGAUGAUAAUGACGGUACCGGGAGAAUAAGCACCGGCUAACUCCGUG
rnacentral:rRNA from 1 species